CACGGGUGAGUAACACGUGAGGAACCUGCCUCAAAGAGGGGGACAACAGUUGGAAACGACUGCUAAUACCGCAUAAGCCCACGGGUCGGCAUCGACCAGAGGGAAAAGGAGCAAUCCGCUUUGAGAUGGCCUCGCGUCCGAUUAGCUAGUUGGUGAGGUAAUGGCCCACCAAGGCGACGAUCGGUAGCCGGACUGAGAGGUUGAACGGCCACAUUGGGACUGAGACACGGCCCAGACUCCUACGGGAGGCAGCAUG
rnacentral:rRNA from 1 species